rnacentral:rRNA from 1 species
UGGUGGAGUGAUUUGUCUGGUUAAUCCGAUAACGAACGAGACUCUAGCCUGCUAAAUAGACGGGCGAUCCCUUCGUGGGUCGACCCGAUUUGCUUCUUAGAGGGACAAGUGGCGUUCCUAGCCACGCGAAAUUGAGCAAUAACA